rnacentral:rRNA from 1 species
AACGAACGCUGGCGGCAUGCCUAACACAUGCAAGUCGAACGAGACCUUCGGGUCUAGUGGCGCACGGGUGCGUAACGCGUGGGAACCUGCCCUUAGGUUCGGAAUAACUCCCUGAAAGGGGUGCCAAUACCGGAUAAUGUCUUCGGACCAAAGAUUUAUCGCCUUUGGAUGGGCCCGCGUUGGAUUAGCUAGUUGGUAGGGUAAAAGCCUACCAAGGCGACGAUCCAUAGCUGGUCUGAGAGGAUGAUCAGCCACACUGGGACUGAGACACGGCCCAGACUCCUACGGGAGGCAGCAGUGGGGAAUAUUGGACAAUGGGCGAAAGCCUGAUCCAGCAAUGCCGCGUGAGUGAUGAAGGCCUUAGGGUUGUAAAGCUCUUUUACCCGGGAUGAUAAUGACAGUACCGGGAGAAUAAGCUCCGGCUAACUCCGUG